rnacentral:siRNA from 1 species
UUGGUCACAACAAUAUUCCGUU